rnacentral:rRNA from 1 species
GAUGAACGCUGGCGGCGUGCCUAAUACAUGCCAGUCGAGCGAACAGACGAGGAGCUUGCUCCUCUGACGUUAGCGGCGGACGGGUGAGUAACACGUGGAUAACCUACCUAUAAGACUGGGAUAACUUCGGGAAACCGGAGCUAAUACCGGAUAAUAUAUUGAACCGCAUUGUUCAAUAGUUAAAUACGGUUUUUCUGUCACUUAUAGAUUGAUCCGCGCCGCAUUAGCUAGUUGGUAAGGUAACGGCUUACCAAGGCAACGAUGCGUAGCCGACCUGAGAGGGUGAUCGGCCACACUGGAACUGAGACACGGUCCAGACUCCUACGGGAGGCAGCAGUAGGGAAUCUUCCGCAAUGGGCGAAAGCUUGACGGAGCAACGCCGCGUGAGUGAUGAAGGUCUUCGGAUCGUAAAACUCUGUUAUUAGGGAAGAACAAAUGUGUAAGUAACUAUGCACGUCUUGACGGUACCUAAUCAGAAAGCCACGGCUAACUACGUG